rnacentral:rRNA from 1 species
AUUGAACGCUGGCGGCAGGCCUAACACAUGCAAGUCGAACGAGUGGCGGACGGGUGAGUAAUGUCUGGGAAACUGCCUGAUGGAGGGGGACAACUACUGGAAACGGUAGCUAAUACCGCAUACUACCAGAUGUGCCCAGAUGGGAUUUGCUUGUUGGUGGGGUAACGGCUCACCAAGGCGACGAUCCCUAGCUGGUCUGAGGGGAUGACCAGCCCCACGGGAACUGAGACACGGUCCAGACUCCUACGGAGGGCAGCAGUGGGAAAUAUUGCACAGUGGGCGCAAGCCGGAUGCGGCCAUGCCGCGUGUAGGGAGAAGGCCUGCGGGUUGUAAAGUACUUUCAGCGGGAAGGCGGUACACGCAGAAGAAGCACCGGCUAACUACGUGCCAGCCGCCGCGGUAAUAC